UACAGAGGGUGCGAGCGUUGUCCGGAAUCACUGGGCGUAAAGGGCGCGUAGGUGGCGACCCAAGUCGAUGGUGAAAGCUCGCCGCUCAACGGCGAGUCGGCCACCGAUACUGGGUUGCUCGAGCACUGUAGAGGCUCAUGGAAUUCCGGGUGUAGCGGUGGAAUGCGUAGAGAUCCGGAAGAACACCGGUGGCGAAGGCGGUGAGCUGGGCAGUUGCUGACACUGGAGGCGCGACAGCGUGGGGAGCAAACAGGG
rnacentral:rRNA from 1 species